UACGAAGGGGGCUAGCGUUGCUCGGAAUCAGCUGGGCGUAAAGGGUGCGUAGGCGGGUCUUUAAGUCAGGGGUGAAAUCCUGGAGCUCAACUCCAGAACUGCCUUUGAUACUGAAGAUCUUGAGUUCGGGAGAGGUGAGUGGAACUGCGAGUGUAGAGGUGAAAUUCGUAGAUAUUCGCAAGAACACCAGUGGCGAAGGCGGCUCACUGGCCCGGUACUGACGCUGAGGC
rnacentral:rRNA from 1 species